rnacentral:rRNA from 1 species
GUGGGGAAUUUUGGACAAUGGGCGCAAGCCUGAUCCAGCAAUGCCGCGUGCAGGAAGAAGGCCUUCGGGUUGUAAAGCACUUUUGGCAGGGAAGAAACAGUGCGUGCUAAUACCAUGCGCGAAUGACGGUACCUGCAGAAUAAGCACCGGCUAACUACGUGCCAGCAGCCGCGGUAAUACGUAGGGUGCAAGCGUUAAUCGGAAUUACUGGGCGUAAAGCGUGCGCAGGCGGCUUUGUAAGACGGAUGUGAAAGCCCCGGGCUCAACCUGGGAAGUGCACUCGUGACUGCAAGGCUAGAGUGUGUCAGAGGGAGGUGGAAUUCCGCGUGUAGCAGUGAAAUGCGUAGAGAUGCGGAGGAACACCGAUGGCGAAGGCAGCCUCCUGGGAUAACACUGACGCUCAGGCACGAAAGCGUGGGGAGCAAACAGGAUUAGAAACCCUUGUAGUCC